rnacentral:lncRNA from 1 species
UGGGAGAAAGAGAAUCGGAUGAGAAAGAUUUACCCGAAGCUAUUGUUGGAGUAUGGUUGAUUUAGUUGGUUGCUGGAAUUUCGGGGACGAAAUUCUAUAAGGAGGAAAGAUUGUCACAGCCCGUCCCGGAAUUUUAAUUCCGAGGACAUGAAAAGACGAAAAUGCCCUUAAACGGGACUAAGGGGCGAAAAUUUAACAAUUUGGAUUGAGUUGGACACGUGGGAUCCCCACAUCCCUCAAAACCUUCCCCAAUUCCCGUACCUUGUCUCUCUAUCUCUCUUCCCUCACGACUCUCUCUCACUCUCAGUUCUCUCUCUUCCUCUCCGACGCUCAACCUCACCCAAAACCACCUAAAACAUAAACAAACGUCCAAGAUAAGACCACAUUUGGACUCCUGGAACUUCCACGAUCACGUAGACACCAAUUUCAGGUAAGUUUUGCUUCGAAAAACCCUAGUUUCAAAGUUCCCGUGAAAUGGUACUGUUCAUGAUCUUUUAAAUGGUUACGAUUUUAGGCUAAAACAAGAUCACAGCGAGCUUAGUGAGGUCCCAAGGAAGCUCGGAGUGCUUUCGUUGGAAGUUUUUGGACGUAAAAACACGGAGAUCGACAAGUUCAAAGUUUGGCCGGAGCUUUCGAGGCAUUUUUCCG